rnacentral:lncRNA from 1 species
GCUGGGCGCUUCGAGCUCCGGCUGACACCCCCCCGCCGCCGCCCUCGGGCGCCCCCUGCCCGCAGCAGCCGUUCCCCUGCCCCGGCCGCCGCCGCCGCCGCCACCGCCUCCUUUCGGGGCGGGUCUGGACCCGCCUGUAGGCGUUUGCGGGGGAGAAAGUAACAUGGUGGCUGUUUCCUUCCCAAACAGGAGCGGAGGGGACUCCGGCUGCUCCUGAGGCCGCGGCAGGAGCGGGGAAAGGCUGCGGGCCGGGAGCGCCGCGACCGUUGGCGCGGGGAAGGGCGUCGGUGGCUUGGCGGCCGGAGGGCAGGCGGCAGGCUACUAUAUUUGACUUUGCUCCAACAGAGUUUCCAAUUACAGAAAGCGUUCUCUAACAAAGAAUGUUUCCAGGGCUGCAGAUGUUUCACUCAUUACAUAAUACUGAGCAUGGCUAACCUUUAAAGCUUGCAACUGGGGCAGCAACACAAGGAAUUGCACAUAAGGCAGGAAAACAGAACACAAGGAAAAUUCAGGGCAACGGAGAUCAAUAAUAUGUUUUGUAUAUGUCUUGCAAAACUAGUGAAUUAUUG